UUCGCUUCUGUCGGCACUCACCAAGGACUAUUUUCGAAUUUUUUUUAAACAAAGUAAUCCAAAAGAUAGCGUAUGUUGUAUCUACAUUAUGUAAGAAAGGAUCACUUUACUUUUGUGUGUUUGAUUUAUAAAUAACACACCCCUUCAUUUCUGUUUGAUUGAUGAUUCAUUCAUUAUAGCUUGAUAUGUCUAGAUAAGUUAGUCUCUGGCCUAUUUUUAAUUUAUUUUACGUGAAAUCAGUGGAUUCGCUUUUUAUUGAUUGCUUUGUAUUUAUGAUUGGUAAGAAAUAUUACCUACAUUUAUGACCCUUUACACUUACUGUUAAAAAUUUUAGGUGUUGAUCUUGACAGUGACAUUUGAUUAAUUGGUGUCCAUUUUCUGUAGUGAUUGUCAAUUUUGUACACUAUGAACACGCCGGACCGUUAUCAUUUUGGAGCGAGUAUUUUGAGGAGAGGGUUGGAAUGUUUUAUUCGCUGCCCUGUAUUUAGGACAACAUCGGGGAAGUUGGGCUCACAAGGAUGCGUCGGUGGUUACACCAUUCGGAACUUACGCCGUCGAGUUAAAAAAAUGAAAACGUUAGCAAAAAGGACAACAAAUAUCAAUGUUAUUUUAAUUGGUACUAACGAUGUUUUGCGCGGAAAUAAUGCCGCAAGAAUGAUCGACGACCUACGAUGUCUUAUUGGCGACAUUUAAAAACGUCGCGGAGGGAGAUUUAUGGUUUGUACCAUACCACCAUUGCCUAGAGCAAACACACUGCAAAGGCAACAGUUGAAUGCCUUCAAUUAUCGGUUGCACGCUCUAGGUAAUAAAAAACCUACCAAUAUUCGCGUUGUGGAGGGGAAUGCCAUUUUUAAUGCGUUUGGGGAUUACCACCUUUUUGAAAGGUAUGCGUAUAAUAAUUAUUUAUUGCCCAUUAUUCAAAUGUAGAUACAUUACUUUGUUUUAUUUUAACACAAAUUUAAUAUAAUCGGUCUUACCAUGUUGUAAAUACAAUUUUAUUAUAGAGAUGGCAUACACCCAAACGGCAGGGGAAUAAGCCUUGUAUACAAUUUGAUUAAUGGAGAUUUUUUUAGAUGUUGAAAUUGUGUAGCACCGCAUCACAAAAUAUUUUGUAUUAACUACUUUCUGGUACUUUCGGUACUUUUUAUUUACUUUGUUUUUAUAUUAAACUAUAGUUUUUGCUCGUGACUUCGUACUCGCUUAAACAUUACCAUCUGUCUUAUGCAUUUACGUUCACCUGGGAAUUCCGAACAGUGUUUUAAAAAUAUACCUUAACGCCUUCAAAGAAACAUACGUUCUAAAUAUCAAGUUUCUAUUUUUCGUAGUUUCGGUUGCAAAACCCGUUUUUUCUUGGUAGGUAGCAUAGAAAUUUCGGGAAAUCCUUUGUUAGUGUUCUCUACAAUCCCUAAGGAACCAGUAACCAAAUUUCAACUUUCUAUGCCCAAUAGUUUCAGUCACCUAACAUUAGUAUUAAUUCGUCCACUAUUACAUCAAAACAUGCUACAAUGUGCUACCCAAUACAUUGAGAGAUCUGGAAGAGAGGGAGUUCGGUGCCAAGAUGAAAAGUAUAUUGAUCAGCAACGCAUUCUACAGUAUUGAAGACUUCUGCAAGUUUAAUUUUAACAAUGUAGUAUGAGCUAUAUUUGCAUUUUCUAUUCUUACUUUGACGUAUGGAAGAACAUGCUUAUGUC